UACAUGGGGUGCAAACGUUUGCUCGGAAUUAUUGGGCGUAAAGCGCGCGUAGGCGGUUACUUAAGUCGGAUGUGAAAGCCCUCGGCUUAACUGAGGAAGUGCACCCGAAACUGAGUAGCUAGAGUACGAAAGAGGGUCGCGGAAUUCCCGGUGUAGAGGUGAAAUUCGUAGAUAUCGGGAGGAACACCGGUGGCGAAGGCGGCGACCUGGGUCGAGACUGACGCUGAGGCGCGAA
rnacentral:rRNA from 1 species